AAUUAUUUUAAAAAUUCCCCCACAAAAGUUCUUUUCAAUCACAGGACAGCAAGUAAGAGAGAUCAGGGCCAGAUAAUUUCUUCAAUGGGGGAAAAACUAGUUUCAAGUUUUAGGUACUGAUUUAAGGCAUUUUGGAGAAUAUGCAUGAGUAUUCAAUGGAUUUAGUUUCUUUUUUUUUUUUUAGAAAAAAGCCUACAGCCAUUUGCAGAAAAAUGCCUGAAAAGCAGAGGCUCAAACGAGAUGUAAAUUACCUCCAAGAACAGCCUAAUAAGCCAUUAAUAACCACCGAGUCACUCCCUGUGAACAAUUUUCUCGGUAAGUGGGACCUGUCCAUCUUCUUGUGGACGCAGAGGACACGUGCCAAGAGAGGGAAGAGCUAAGAGGAAUCAUGGUGAUUCUGAGCUACCCACUUUCCAACUCCUUUGAGUCCAGUGCCAGCCUUGGCAAAAACACUGUCUCCUGAACAAAUGCUGUUUAAAAAUCCAAAGGCAGCUGUGUGGGAGCAAAGUCCAGGGUGGCAGAGAGGGACAAUGGACCCCUGCUGGCUUCCUGCCCACUGUUUUGAUCAGCCAAAGCCUGGAUUCUCCAUCCCUUCUGUGUGCAGCCAGAUGAAAGCCAGUGUCGGCACGCAUCCUGUUUGUGACGAAGGGGUGUUUACUCACAGGAUGGCGCUGGGGAGAGCCUCGACCAUGCCUCCAGCAAAUGGCCAGAUCUGGAAUUGCUCAGCAGGGACAUGAUGGAUGAAUGUAACACUGCAUCUGCAAGGACUGCUCCUAAUGAGUCACUCAUCACUCAGCAUUGGGUCCCACUGAGGGACUAUGCUGUGUCCUUAAGUGUGUGUCAUUCACAGGUCUGGGGUCAAGGAGGGCUGAAAAGAGGAGGAUAAAAUGGAGGGAGAGGCAUGCAAGAGGGAAGAGGGCCCUGCCGUGUGGGACGGCUGAGUGGGCUCAGCUGAGGAGCAGAUUGGCUGGGCACUAGGUUGGCACUGCCGCUCGAUCACCCCCUGAUGGGGCAGUGGGCAGUGAGGCCAGGCUCAAGGCUUUUUGGGGUUUGAAUCCUUUCUGUGGGAGCUUUGCCGCAUCUCUCUGAUCUUCCACUGGCCCUCACCGGGAUCCUUAUCUGGGGUUCCUCACCUUGGCUGGGAGGCCUGACCGCGCUUCUGCUUGCUGUUUGGAACUUGGACAGGCUUUAUCCUAAGGGGAGGGUCCGUAUCCAGUCCCCGACCUUGGUAAAAUGAGAGCCUCAGGUUGCUCUCACAGACCCAGAAGCCAGGGAGACAAGGAGUUGAUUCUGUCGCUACUCUGCUAAACCAACAUCCCAGCCCAAGACGGGAAAAGCCUCUGAGGGUUCUGCCGGCUGUGCCUACCGUAGAGCAGUCAUGGUCUUGUCUGCGGGGCUGGCCAACCUCCCUACACGUGGCACAGAAAGCAGCAGGAAGCCCCUUCCCUCCCCAGGUCUGGGGCUGGGGUCGCUUCUCAUGGUCACCACCACUCCCUUCAUUAGGGAGCUUCCAAAAGGCUUUAUAACAUUUUCAUCCAACUCUAAAGCAUCAAAGAAGCCGUGUCUGUAAUCCCGCUAAUCAAUCAUAUGCAUUGUUUACAUUCCUCCAUGA
rnacentral:lncRNA from 10 species